rnacentral:rRNA from 1 species
CAGUAGCCGCGGGAAUACGUAGAGUGCAAGCGUUAAUCGGAAUUACUGGGCGUAAAGCGUGCGCAGGCGGUUAUGUAAGACAGUUGUGAAAUCCCCGGGCUCAACCUGGGAACUGCAUCUGUGACUGCAUAGCUAGAGUACGGUAGAGGGGGAUGGAAUUCCGCGUGUAGCAGUGAAAUGCGUAGAGAUGUGGAGGAAUACCGAUGGCGAAGGCAGCCCCCUGGGCCAAUACUGACGCUCAUGCACGAAAGCGUGGGGAGCAAACAGGAUUAGAUACCCGCGUAGUCCCUGUCUCUUAUAC